AAGAAUUUGUUCUUAACUGACUUGCCUAUUUAAAUAAAGGUUAAAUAAAAAUAAAUAAAUAAAAUAUAUUUGUAACGCAGACAAUACUGUAUGUUCAGGCUAUUGACACGCACCUAGAGGGGGAUUGGUAUAUAUAGAUAACAAACCCACUCAUAAUUGAGGAGGUUCAUCCACAGGAGGGUAGAACAGGACGCUACUGGAGGAAAGAGAAGAGAGGGGGAUUUUACACAGGAAGAAAGAGGACGAAGAGAGGAGAGGAAUUCAGUUUACAAGGUUUCUCAUAACACAACUGAAAAAGGGAAGUAGUUAUUUACUCCACUUCAAAUAUAAACCAUUUUCUCUCAGCUGCAUGAUCACAUGGGUUAUGACCCAAAUGACACGCUAUUCCCUAUAUAGUGCACUAAUAGGGCUCUGGUCAAAAGUAGUGUACUAUAUAGGGAAUAGGGUGCCAUUUGGGAAGCACACAUACUGUAUAGACAACUGAAACAUAUGUGAAGUUAGGUACGUCACAGGUACUUUUGACAGGGUACAUACAGGGCUCUGGUCAAAAGUAGUGCACUAUAUACGGAAUAAGGUGCCAUUUGGGAUGCAGGCCACAGUUUUUGUAUUUCAACAGUAUCACUGUAUUGGGUUGUUAGUGAGCUGUGUUGUCAUGGUUCCUAGCUCAGGUGUUUUGAGUGGCCUACAUUUUAUGUGGUGUUUUCUGUAAGGAAUUUAUUCAAUCAAAAAAAAUGUUUUAAUGUAUAUAGAAAAAUAUAGAAAAAUAUUGAUUGUAAUUGUUGUUUUUUAUGACUGAAGUGAGUUUUGAAGUUGUUUUCUGAGUAUAAAGCUGGUUUUGUGCCUCUUGAUGUGGGUGUUCUGUUAUCGAAGACCAAACUAUAUCACCAUGGAAACUUAGUUCAGAAAAGUUAACUCCUAAUAAAGUCACUCCUACACUGUAGUAAAGCCGGAAAUAUAUAUAAUUCACAAAAAAACAUUCACUUAUUUUAUAAGACUUGAUCUUUAUUUGGAUCCCCAUGAGCUGACGCCAUGACGACAGAUAAAUGUGUAUACAAGCAUAUAGUCAACACACACACAAAUACAUUUAAAGGUACACUGUGAGUGUUAAAUGCCCUAUUGUUUUACUUACAUUUUGGUUUGAGAGGUGACUGGUUCAUAUACACAUAUGAUAUAAUAUUAAUCAAUUUCUUAUCUCAUUAAACCACACAACCCUUAGUUUUAGGCUAAUAAUAUAAUAUUUAAGUCAUGGGUGUGAGGAGGUGUGCCCCUUUGUCUGUGCUCCAAUUAGGUCAUUUCUGGAUUAUUUAAGGCAGCGUUUCCACAUUUUCACAUUUUAGUUUUAACCUUAAACUUGCACACCUGGUUCAAUUAGUCAAAGGCUUGAUGAUUAGUUGACUAAUUGCUGAUUUAAAGGACCUCUUUUGGCUCAAGGGCAGCCCCCCAGAGGCAAAAGUGAUGUAUGGUAGAAUAGAUGUUUAGUACACAGUACAGAUGUACAGUAUAAUACAAGUAUACUGUAUGUAGUAGAUGCAUAGUAGAUAUAUGUGUAUGAAGACAUAUACAUGUGUAUAGUACAGCUCCAUUUUGUUGUAUUCCCAAACUCACAAUGUAUCCCUUUUUCUGCACACCAGUCAGUGAAGCAGGGAAGUCAAGCAGGUAAGUGAAGCAGGUAAGUUCCCACUUCAUUUGUUUCACGGUGUUCUGUUCGUUUUCUCUGAAAUUCAUCUAAACGCUUAUGUUCUACAUCGGCCUAACUAUUGUUGAUGUAGCCAUUUUAUCAAGGGGGAAAAGGCGCAAUGAUAUCAAGGUGAAAAGGCGCAAUGUCAUAGUCAUGGUAUAUGGUCUCACAUACACACGGCUGGAUGCCAAUCAGCAUCCAGUAUCCAAACUACCCAGUUUAUGGUACAAUAUAUAGGUAAUGUAUACAGAUGUAUAGUACCCAAGAAGAACACAGGACCCAGGUUUGAGGUGAGCAUGAGUUUAUUGGUCAGUGAUGAUCUUCCUCCUCCUCCUCCUCCUCUCUCACCACUAUUGUCUAUUGCUGUUAUUGGUGCUGGUGAACCAAAGUCCCUGAUGUAUAUCUGUGAUAUAUACUAUAAUCUGAUAGAGUGUUAUGACCGUUGUUACACUAUAACGGUCCUCUAUAACAUGAUGUGUUACGGUGAUGACUUAACUCAUCUCACGCUGCUGUUGACGUCACGGCACUGAUAUACGAGUCGCCUCUCGUAGUAAUAACACCCUGUUGUAUUACCAAC